CUACAUGAAGCCGGAAUCGCUAGUAAUCGCAGAUCAGCAUGCUGCGGUGAAUACGUUCCCGGGUCUUGUACACACCGCCCGUCACACCAUGGGAGCCGGGAAUGCCCGAAGUCGGUGACCCAACCGUAAGGAGGGAGCCGCCGAAGGCAGGCCUGGUAACUGGGGUGAAGUCGUAACAAGGUAUC
rnacentral:rRNA from 1 species